UACGGAGGAUCCGAGCGUUAUCCGGAUUUAUUGGGUUUAAAGGGUGCGUAGGCGGAGUGUCAAGUCAGCGGUAAAAUUUCGGGGCUCAACCCCGUCGUGCCGUUGAAACUGACACCCUUGAGUGAGUGAGAAGUAAGCGGAAUGCGUGGUGUAGCGGUGAAAUGCUUAGAUAUUGCGCAGAACUCCGAUUGCGAAGGCAGCAUACCGGCGGCGAUCUGACGCUGAGGCACGAAAGCGUGGGUAUCGAACAGG
rnacentral:rRNA from 1 species